rnacentral:lncRNA from 1 species
UUUUUUUCUAGUGAAUAAUAAGUUGUUAUCCAACAUUUCUGGCUGCAAAUAUGACUCAAUUGUUGUUUUGGAUCGUGCCUCCAUUUCCAUGAAUGUUUAUUUUCAGAAGUUUGUUAACCCUUGUGUCACCUUGUGGCUUUUUUAUCCAGUAGGGUGCAAAAUACUCUCUUUUUUUUGACCAAAAUACUCGCUAUUUUUUAGAGAGUGAAAUCAUUUUUGGUAAAGAAGUUUAAUUUGACGUAAUUUGAAGUUUAAUUUUGACGUAUUUUUAAUUUUCUCUGGCUGUUUUGGGUCACUUACUUUAGCUGCUAUAAAAACAUACCAGACAAUUUUUUUUUUUUGCUCAAAUCUAUUCGUCAAGCUCAGUCCUUAUCAUAACAUUUUUUAUUAUUAUUUCAUUAUGAAUUUUAACCCUUGAAUGCCAAAUUAAGAGGUGAUGUCACUGAUUUGGUGGAAAGAGAAAAAAUCACACAAAAUGACAGAAUUUCAAUAUAAAAAGUAAUCAGAGGCUGAAGAUUUUUUACAUGCUAUCACACCCUUGGGUAUGUCAAAUAUAACAAAAUUAACUUUGAUGCAUUUUUAUUUUUUGCACAGCAUCGGGUUUAAGUUCAUCAUAACCGCACAGCUUUUCCAUCCGCCCGUUUGCGCUCAUGUUUUCAGAAAGGAGGGGAAAGCAAGAGUGGGAGAGAAUUAAAUUUUUUCAUGUCCGGUAUGUAGGCCUGUCGCGAUAAUCAAUAAAUCGCCUUAUCGCUCGAUAAAUAAAAACGAGGUCGGUCAUUUUGCCAGCCUCGAUAAUUGACGUGCGUUUGUUUUCCUCCUCUCUCGCUACCAAACACGCUGGAUGAGAGAAGAGGUCUCACUCUGCGCAUUGUUCUCGGCACCUGGGGGCGUUGGCUCUAUAGCGGAAUGAACGGAGUUAGUGAACCCUCCUGUCAGUCAUUCAGUAUCUUUGUCACGAGGGGGCUGGCGCGCACAGGCACACAGACACAGACUUUUUGGAUACAGUGCUGCAAGUGAGCAUUGUGAGUGAAAAGCAAGCUAACAGAAUGAACACGACAGCUUUGGUGUCUAAACCGAACGCAACAGCCCAAGUGUGGGAAUAUUUCGGCUUUAAACCAGUUUUGUUUUCGUCAACCACAAAACUCCACGUGUGUGUGUGCGCGUGCGUGUCUGUGUGUUGGAGGAGCACAGCAGGCUGAUGAGAGCUGUCAGAGCGGACUGAAGCUGCUCCUAUAUGUUUAGCGUUUAACUGACUGAGUUUUGCAACUCUGUUCGUCAUUUUCGUCUCGUCUCAUCAACGUAAACGCACUUUCGUCUCGUCACAUUUUAGUCAUCUCCGACUUAUGUUUAGCUCGUCAACGUUACGUCUUCGUCGUGGGAGAAAAGGGAAAUAUUUUAGUCAACGAAAACAACCAGUGUUGUUCUCGUGUGGAAAUUAAAGUUUAUCCCUUUUGACAUGGUGUACUCGCAUUAUUAUGCCAUAUAAUAUCAUUAUCUAUAAUUUAAAAAAUGGUGUCAAUAAUAUCGUUUAUCGGCGAUAAUUUGUAGCACAAUUAUCGUCCAGCAAAAUUUGUUAUCGUGACAGGCCUACCGGUAUGCAUAUUAUUGUUAGAAAACCACCCCAAAAGUGGAUCUUUCAUAAUAGGGGACCUUUAAAACUAUUUGGGAGACAGAUCUGGGAGAGGUGAUUCAUAAAAGUGGAAAAGUAUCAGUCCCAACUCUAAGGCCAUACUUCUCCUUUCCCAUGCUCAUUAAAAAGAAACAGAUAUGAUUCUGCAAGCAUUCACACCAAGUGAUUUUCAGUAAAUGAUGAUUAAAAUACUUAGAUUAUGAUAAAAUACACGUGAUAGCAUACACAUACAAUUUUUCUUACAGCAACGAUUUGCAAAUCAUUUCCAACCUACAUUCAAUUGAAUACAGAAUCUGAUGGCAGCAACACGUGACAAAGAAGUCGGGACAGGUGAGAAAUUUGAGGAAUGCUCAUCAAACACCUAUUUGGACCAUCCCACAGGUGAGCAGGCUAAUAGGGAACAGGUGGGUGCCAUGAUUGGGUAUAAAAGCAGCUUCGCCAAAAAUUCUCAGUCAUUCACAAGCAAGGAUGGGGCGAGGUUCACCACUUUGUGAACAACUGCGUGAGCAAAUAGUCGAACAGUUUAAGAACAACGUUUCUCAAAGUACAAUUGUAAAGAAUUUAGAGAUUUCAACUACAGUCCAUAAUAUCAUCAAAAGGUUCAGAGAAUCUGGAGAAAUCACUGCACAUAAGCGACACGGCCGGAAACCAACUUUGAAUGCCCGUGACCUUCGACCCCUCAGGUGGAACUGUAUCAAAAACUGACAUCAUUGUGUAAAGGAUAUGAUCACAUGGACUCAGGAACACUUCAGAAAACCACUGUCAGUAAAUACAGUUCGUCGAUACAUCUGUAAGUUAAAACUCAACUAAGCAAAGAGAAAGCCAUUGAUCAACAACAUCCAGAAACGCUGCCGGCUUCUCUGGGCCCGAGCUCAUCGAAGAUGGACUGAUGCAAAGUGUAAAAGUGUUCUGUGGUCUGACGAGUCCACAUUUCAGAUUGUUUUUGGAAACAGUGGACGUCGUGUCAUUCGGGCCAAAGCAGAAAAGAACCAUCCGGACUGUUGUAGACGCAAAGUUCAAAAGCCAGCGUCUGUGAUGGUAUGGGGGUGCAUUAGUGCCCAAGGCCUGGGUAACUUACACAUCUCUGAAAGCAACAUUCAUGCUGAAAGGUACACACAGGUUUUAGAGCAACAUAUGCUGCCAUCCAAGCAGCGUCUUUUUCAUGGACAGCCUUCCUGCUUACUUCAGCGAGACAACGCCACGCCACAUUCUGCACGUGUUACAACGGAGUGACUUCGUAGUUAAAGAGUGCGGGUACUCGACUGGCCUGCCUGCAGUCCAGACCUGUUUCCCAUUGAAAAUGUGUGGAGCAUUAUGAAGCGUAAAAUAGGACAACAGAGACCCCGGACUGUUGAGCAACUGAAGCUGUACAUCAAGAAUGGGAAAGAAUUCCACCUUCAAAGCUUCAACAGUUCGUCUCCUCAGUUCACAAACAUUUAUUGAGUGUAACACUCAAUAAAUGUUUGUGAACUGAUUCAGGACACCGAGGACACUGAGAGAGUGUGGAGGGCAGCAGCAGGUGAAACUGACUGAAAGGGAAAGUUUCAUAUCAGGCAAAGAGAAAUCCCCGACAAACCCGGGCUGAGAGAGAGAAGAAUCACAGACCUGUUAGAAAAACAGGAAAGACAGAACAGGGGGGGACAGUCUGACUGGGGGGCUCCUGAAGGUUUUCAUCCAGAGUUUCUGUGUGUCUCUGUCGUUUAUUCAUCUGAGCACAGAAACAUCUUCCAUCAACAAACACAACUCAGAGUUUCUGCAGUUUAUCAGUCCAGGAGCUGCAGAAGAAAUCACAGUUUUGAGACGCUUUAAAGAGGAGAACUGCAGCAAAAUGACUGCUAACCAAAAGAGAAACACUCUAUCAGGGCUGUUCUUGUGCUCAUAUUGAAAGUGAAAGAGUAAUAAAGACAUGCAGACACUCACAUCCCUAACCGCCACAUCCUGUUCUCCAGAUAACGGUUAUUUAACACACUUUCCACCAUAAUGUUUAGAAACCUCUCAGUCUGCAAACAUGGACAGAAAGUCAAAGACUGAAAAGUCUAAAGUGAUCAUGUGUUAAUAUUUCACCCUCCUGUUGUUCCCUCUGUAGCUGCUUUAAACAAAGUCCUCUGACCGAGUUCGACAUGAUUUCACCCUUCAGGACAUCUGAACAUGAAUUGUCUUCAACCGAAGUUUUUCCACUCUCAGCUCUGAAAAAAUAGGGAUAAUUCAACAUAAUCAUCAACACUAAAAGGGUUACAGCCUGAUGAGACCCAAAAUUCAUCCUGAAAUACAGAAAAUGAAUGUUUAUCAGAGUCUUCUGUGUCAAAGGAAAAACUCAGUUUUUAGAGGGUGGUCUCUGACAGAAAAGAAACUCCAAACAACUCCAGAGUGAACACAUGAACUUAGACUUAAACACAGACAGGGUUAUACUACAGACAGGAUCAUCCUACAGACAGGUUUAUGAUACAGACAGGGUUAUACUACAGACAGGGUUAUAACUCAGACAGGGUUAUAACUCAGACCACAGAAACUCCACCUAAAGUGUUUUUAAUUUCAAGUUUUUUUAAUCUAUUAUUUUUUUAAACUCAUUUAUUGAUUAAAAUUUUGUUGUUUUUAUUUUGACUUUCCUUUUCUUUUUCUGUACAUCUCUUUGUGUUGCACCAACAUUGUGUAAGAAGUGCGUCAUAGAUAAAGUUUGUCUCAUUGACACAUUGACUGGGAUGGGCUCAGUUUCAGUUUUCCAGUAAAUCAUGUGAGUGAUUUCAAACAGGGAGACUGAAAGUGAAAGUAUGGAGACUCUAUAAAAACCCACCAGCCCGCUGAUCUGCAGAGUCACUCUGAGCAGAGAUACAGCAGCAGGUAAGAGCCACUUUAACCUGUUAGGACCUUUUUUUACAGUCUCUCUGUCAUUUACUGAUGCUCACUGAAACACCAACUCUGUCCUCCAGCUCCAUUUUAAUCUGUAGAAACUGGAUUUUAUUGAUUUAAGAGUUGCAUGCUGUCUCAUCAUGUUUGGAGGGUUUUACUUCAGAAUAAGGAGAUUAUUGUAAUAAUGAUCACUUUGUUCCUCAUAGGUUGAUGUAAAGGAGAAAUAUUGAACUCUUUAUAUCAGCUGAUUACCUCUCAGAUUUAUCAUUGAUGGUUCAGCCUUAAACAGAUCAAUAAUGUCUGAAUAUCUGCAGACCGUGAGCUUCUACAAAGGUUUUAUUUUAGAGACUGGUCAAACAGCUGAGGUCAUGUUUUAAUAUGUGAACAUGUUCUCUGCAGACAUGGGCUCAUCAAAAUCAAAAUGCAGACGAUCACAUGGACAUUCUCCAUAUUAUCGACCUUCUCCACCUCCUCCAACUCCUCCACCUUCCCGUAAGAGGCUGAAUUCUUACUGACAUGAUCUCAGAUCUGAGGAUCAGGAUCUUUAAUCAGUAACCAUGUUUUUCAGUUUUUCUCACUAUUGUUCAUUUUUGUCCUUCAGCCUGUCUGAGUCAACCGUGGAGACGAUUGAAUGAGUGAGUGAGCAUUCUAAGGACACACACACACACACACACACAUACACAUACACACAUAGACAUACAUAUACACAUUGACACACGCACACACACAUAUACACAAAUACACGCAUAUACACACAGUAAUAUAUAUAUAUAUACAUAUAUACACAUAUACACUCACCGGCCACUUUAUUAGGUACACCUGUCCAACUGCUCGUUAACACUUAAUUUCUAAUCAGCCAAUCACAUGGCGGCAACUUAGUGCAUUUAGGCAUGUAGACAUGGUCAAGACAAUCUCCUGCAGUUCAAACCGAGCAUCAGUAUGGGGAAGAAAGGUGAUUUGAGUGACUUUGAACGUGGCAUGGUUGUUGGUGCCAGAAGGGCUGGUCUGAGUAUUUCAGAAACUGCUGAUCUACUGGGAUUUUCACGCACAACCAUCUCUAGGGUUUACAGAGAAUGGUCCGAAAAAGAAAAAAUAUCCAGUGAGCGGCAGUUCUGUGGGCGGAAAUGCCUUGUUGAUGCCAGAGGUCAGAGGAGAAUGGCCAGACUGGUUCGAGCUGAUAGAAAGGCAACAGUGUCUCAAAUAACCACCCGUUACAACCAAGGUAGGCAGAAGAGCAUCUCUGAACGCACAGUACGUCGAACUUUGAGGCAGAUGGGCUACAGCAGCAGAAGACCACGCCGGGUGCCACUCCUUUCAGCUAAGAACAGGAAACUGAGGCUACAAUUUGCACAAGCUCAUCGAAAUUGGACAAUAGAAGAUUGGAAAAACAUUGCCUGGUCUGAUGAGUCUCGAUUUCUGCUGCGAUAUUCGGAUGGUAGGGUCAGAAUUUGGCGUCAACAACAUGAAAGCAUGGAUCCAUCCUGCCUUGUAUCAACGGUUCAGGCUGGUGGUGGUGGUGUCAUGGUGUGGGGAAUAUUUUCUUGGCACUCUUUGGGCCCCUUGGUACCAAUUGAGCAUCGUUGCAACGCCACAGCCUACCUGAGUAUUGUUGCUGACCAUGUCCAUCCCUUUAUGACCACAAUGUACCCAACUUCUGAUGGCUACUUUCAGCAGGAUAAUGCGCCAUGUCAUAAAGCUGGAAUCAUCUCAGACUGGUUUCUUGAACAUGACAAUGAGUUCACUGUACUCAAAUGGCCUCCACAGUCACCAGAUCUCAAUCCAAUAGAGCAUCUUUGGGAUGUGGUGGAACAGGAGAUUCGCAUCAUGGAUGUGCAGCCGACAAAUCUGCGGCAACUGUGUGAUGCCAUCAUGUCAAUAUGGACCAAGCUCUCUGAGGAAUGCUUCCAGCACCUUGUUGAAUCUAUGCCACGAAGAAUUGAGGCAGUUCUGAAGGCAAAAGGGGGUCCAACCCGGUACUAGCAUGGUGUACCUAAUAAAGUGGCCGGUGAGUGUAUUUAUAUAUACACUCACCGGCCACUUUAUUAGGUACACGUUCAAGAAACCAGUCUGAGAUGAUUCCAGCUUCAUGACAUGGCGCAUUAUCCUGCUGAAAGUAGCCAUCAGAAGUUGGGUACAUUGUGGUCAUAAAGGGAUGGACAUGGUCAGCAACAAUACUCAGGUAGGCUGUGGCGUUGCAACGAUGCUCAAUUGGUACCAAGGGGCCCAAAGAGUGCCAAGAAAAUAUUCCCCACACCAUGACACCACCACCACCAGCCUGAACCGUUGAUACAAGGCAGGAUGGAUCCACGCUUUCAUGUUGUUGACGCCAAAUUCUGACCCUACCAUCCGAAUGUCGCAGCAGAAAUCGAGACUCAUCAGACCAGGCAAUGUUUUUCCAAUCUUCUACUGUCCAAUUUCGAUGAGCUUGUGCAAAUUGUAGCCUCAGUUUCCUGUUCUUAGCUGAAAGGUCUUCUGCUGCUGUAGCCCAUCUGCCUCAAAGUUCGACGUACUGUGCGUUCAGAGAUGCUCUUCUGCCUACCUUGGUUGUAACGGGUGGUUAUUUGAGUCACUGUUGCCUUUCUAUCAGCUCGAACCAGUCUGGCCAUUCUCCUCUGACCUCUGGCAUCAACAAGGCAUUUCCGCCCACAGAACUGCCGCUCACUGGAUAUUUUUUCUUUUUCGGACCAUUCUCUGUAAACCCUAGAGAUGGUUGUGUGUGAAAAUCCCAGUAGAUCAGCAGUUUCUGAAAUACUCAGACCAGCCCUUCUGGCACCAACAACCAUGCCACGUUCAAAGUCACUCAAAUCACCUUUCUUCCCCAUACUGAUGCUCGGUUUGAACUGCAGGAGAUUGUCUUGACCAUGUCUACAUGCCUAAAUGCACUAAGUUGCCGCCAUGUGAUUGGCUGAUUAGAAAUUAAGUGUUAAUGAGCAGUUGGACAGGUGUACCCAAUAAAGUGGCCGGUGAGUGUAUAUAGUUUCAACAAAGCUUAUCACACCUUUCUUUUUUCUUUCCUUCUUUUAUCCUUUUAUUUUAUUAGUUUUAAUAUAUUAUAUGAUCUUGUUUUAAAUUAUUUAAAAUAAUUUUAUCUUUUUUGAAUCUUAUGUUAUUAUAAAUUAUCUUGUUUUAUCUUGUCUUAUUUUCAUCAAUUCUAUAUUUUUAUUUUGUUUUAUCUUGCUUCAACUUUUUAUCUUGUAUAAUCUGUUAAUCUUGUUUUAUCUUGAAAUUUUCUUAAUUUUCAUUUUUUAAAAUGAUUUUAUCUUUUUAUCUUAUCAUUUUAUUUUGUCUUAUCUUUUUAUUUUAUUUUAUCCUGUUUUUAAUUUGUGUUUUUUUUAUUUCCUUAUUUUAUUUGAUCUGAUUUCACACUUUUAUUGAAUCUUAUUUUAUCCUUUUAAAUUUUAACUUUUUUUAGAAAUAAUUUAAUCUUUUCAUUGAUCUUUUUUAAACUUUUUUUUGUCUGUUUUAUCUGGUUUUGUCUUGUUGUAUUUUAUUGUAGUUUGUUAUGGUCAGGGCUCUUUUGUUUAAUACUAAACAGAUGAGAUAAAACAAUCUGAUGUCUCUGCUUUGUCAGGAGCUCCGGGGACAUCAUUAGGUACCUGGGAGCCUACCACCCUCGAAACAAACAAGUCAGUCACUUGAGGGUUCUGCUGCACGGCCCGGUCGGUGCAGGAAAGUCCAGUUUCAUCAACUCAGUGGACAGCGCUCUCAGGGGUCGUGUGACCGGUCGAGCUGCUACUGAUGCAACUUCAGGGACAAGCUACACCCUGGAGGUAGGACGGUCUAGAGCCUGAGAGAACGUCUGAUUGUGGUCCUUCAGAAACUUCUGAGACAGUUAUACGUGACUUAACAAAUUUACAAAAUGACAGAGACAAACAUAAAAUAUCCACAAAUUAAUGAAAAACUCAAAUGAACAAACUCUUUAGAAACUAACUCUCUCUAACUCUCUCAGACUGAAUCUCCUUUUUAAGAAAAUGAAAAAUCUUUUAAAUUGACACUUUUAUUUGUUUAACUGAUGCAUUUACUGUCUCCUUCUUUCAGUAUAAAACCUACAAGAUAGAAAAACAGGCGUCGAGCUUUUAUUCUGUGGUUUUUAAUGACAUCAUGGGCCUGGAGAACAGCCUGGACAACGGCGUCCAAGUGGACGACGUCAAACUGGCGAUGAAAGGACACGUGAAGGAAAAUCACAAGGUACGCACUGAAGGACUUUGUUGAACUGAAGGUCCUGUAGAGUCUAAUCUGUCCAACCAUAGAGGUUAAAUCCACAGUCACUGAUCGAACCAGAACCAAGUCUGUGAGGACAUGAUACCACACCAGUGUACAACAGCGCCAUCUUCCUGUUUUAAGGUGUAUUACUACUUCCUGUGGCUGAGGGGAUUUUGAGAAUGACUCUGGCUGUGUCUCAUUUCAGAGACCGCAUCGUGAUAAGCGCGCUUAACGGCGCUUAGCUGAGUGCACUGCCGUUUUGAGCCGUUUUACGCCGUUUUGCGCCGUUCUGUGCCCUUCCUGUGUCCCAUUUCAGAUACAGCAGCCAUCGAACGGCGCAUCUGACGCGUACGUGAGGUCACCACGCGGCACGAACGGUGUCCCGUUUGGCACAAAAUACUAAGCGCGCUUCAAAUUCGGUCUCAAAACCACACUACCCCCGCCUCGUUUUCAAGCGUGCAUGUAUGCACGCUUUCGUGCCGUCGGUAUCCCAGAAUUCUUUGCGUGCCGCUGCACAGCUGUGCAUUUCAGGUGAGAGGCUGGACUCGCUUGGAGACACAGCGCGUCUUCGAAGAAAAUACAAGCAAUCCAAAACCAUCAGACAGUCAGCUCAGGCUGUAUGAGAGCAUGAUCUCUGAACUCACUAAAAUCUGUAAACCAAACAUUAGAGAUUUAGAGACGAACUGAUCCGCUGUGUUACAACUAUCAAAAACAUUAGAAAUAAGAAGCUGACAAAACUACAGCAGAGGAUCAGGACAACAUUGAGUUUUUUUUCUUUUAAGAUUUAGAGAUUCAAGUUGUAAAUUUAGGAGAAUAAAGUCAUAAAGUAAAUAAAGUCAUGAAGCUGCUUUUGUGGAGGGGGAAAUGACUGAAGCUGGUCAUCUGCAGGGUUAUCUGUGGAUGUAUCAGCGGGUCAUUCAGAGAGAUUUUGUGGUUUCUGAAGAAACAAUCAAACUGAUGAUGAUCAACAUUUGUGAUCCAGAGGGAGUCGAGCUCCGACGAGCACCACGUCUCUGACACCGGCCGUAGCCUACACCUGCAGAGACACCAACACCUUAUUAUGGCAUAUGGAUUCAUAUCAUAAACUAAAGCUCAAUGUCAUUCACGGAUAUUAACGGCUGCAUUGACAGAUAUAUCCUCAGCAUAUUCAUUUCUGCCUCCACAAAAGCAGCGAUUUCCUUCAAGUACACCAGUUUUUUCCCCCGUGGAAAAGACGUAUUUCUCAUAUAUUCUUUUUAAAGUCUUUAUACUUAUGACAAUGUUAUGCUGAUGUGCCAGAGGAUGAAGAAUCUCCUUGUUUGUGAAACCUAUACUGAAGCACAGUUCCUUCAAAUGCUUCAUGGCCCUAAUUUUAGCAAGUCUCUCUGAAAUAACAGGUUAUGACUUCAUUCUCAUAAAUUAAUGACUUUAUUCUCGUAAAUUCACGACUUAAAUCUCGAAGUCCUUAAAGUCUUAAAUCUCAAUAUGGCCCUCAUACUCCUUCUUACAAAACAAUCAUUGGAUGAAUUGUGCUUGUAUGUAUCUACUAUUUUGUGUCUGUGCAAGGUCGCACAAUUAAAACAAUAAAUGCUGCGCUCUGCGGGUUUCCUUUAAGUCAGUCGUGACGCGAGCCUGAGGGCGGGGACAUUUGGCAACUCCACCAGGAAGUCCUCCGAAGGUCUCCAAAUGUCCCCGCCCUCAGGCUUACGUCACGACUGAUUAGAAAAAAAGCUGCGGAGCGCAGCAUGUAUUGUUUUAAUUGUGCGACCUUGCACAGACACAAAAUAGUAGAUACAUACAAGCCCAGAUCAUUCCCACAAAAUUAAUCCAAUGAUUGUUUUGUAUGAAGGAGUAUGAGGGCCCUAUUUAGAAGGAGGAUAGGAGAUACUUCAUCCUCUGGCACAUCAGCAUCACAUUGUCAUAAGUAUAAAGACUUUAAAAAGAAUAUAUGAGAAAUACGUCUUUUCCACGGGGAAAAAAACUGGUGUACUUGAAGGAAAUCGCUGCUUUUGUGGAGGCAGAAAUGAAUAUGCUGAGGAUAUAUCUGUCAAUGCAGCCGUAAAUAUCCGUGAAUGACAUUGAGCUGUAAUUUAUGAUAUGAAUCCAUAUGCCAUAAUAAGGUGUUGGUGUCUCUGCAGGUGUAGGCUACGGCCGGUGUCAGAGACGUGGUGCUCGUCGGAGCUCGACUCCCUCUGGAUCACAAAUGUUGAUCAUCAUCAGUUUGAUUGUUUCUUCAGAAACCACAAAAUCUCUCUUAAUGACCCGCUGAUACAUCCACAGAUAACCCUGCAGAUGACCAGCUUCAGUCAUUUCCCCCUCCACAAAAGCAGCUUUAUGACUUUAUUUACUUUAUGACUUUAUUCUCCUAAAUUUACAACUUGAAUCUCUAAAUCUUAAUAGAAAAAAACCUCAAUGUUGUCCUGAUACUCUGCUGUAGUUUUGUCAGCUUUCUCAUUUCUAAUGUUUUUGAUAGUUGAAGCAGAGCGGAUCAGUUCGUCUCUAAAUCUAUAAUGUUUGGUUAACAGAUUUUAGUGAGUUCAGAGAUCAUGCUCUCAUACAGCCUGAGCUGACUGUCUGCUGUUUUUGGAUUGCUUGUAAUUUCUUUGAAGACGCGCUGCGUCUCCAAGCGAGUCCAGCCUCUCACCUGAAAUGCGCAGCUGUGCAGCAGCACGCAAAGGAUUCUGGGAUACCGACGGCACGAAAGCGUGGAUAAAUGCACGCUUGAAAACAUGCUAAGCGCGCUUAGCAUUUUUUAGCAUCUCGUGCCAAACGGGACACCGUUCGCACCGUCGUGACGUCAUGCACACUUCAAAUGCACCGUUCGACGGUGCAGAAGGGCACUUAGGUCGAUGCGGUCUCUGAAAUGAGACACAGCCUCUGGCUGUGUCUCAUUUCAGAGACCGCAUCGGGAGAAGCGCGCUUAGCUGAGUGCACUGCCGUUUUGCACCCUUCCUGUGUCCCAUUUCAGAGACCGCAACCGUCGAACGGCGCAUCUGAAGCGUGCGUGAGGUCAUCACGCGGCACGAACGGUGUCCCGUUUGGUACAAAAUACUAAGCGCGCUUCAAAUUCGGUCUCAAAACCACACUACCCCCGGCCCUUUUUCAAGCGUGCAUUUAUGCACGCUUUCGUGCUGUCGGUAUCCCAGAAUUCUUUGCGUGCCGCUGCACAGCUUCGCAUUUCAGGUGAGAGGCUGGACUCGCUUGUGGACACAGCGCGUCUUCAAAGAAAAUACAAGAAAUCCAAAAUCAGCAGACAGUCAGCUCAGGCUGUAUGAGAGCAUGAUCUCUGAACUCACUAAAAUCUGUAAACCAAACAUUAUAGAUUUAGAGACGAACUGAUCCGCUGUGUUACAACUAUCAAAAACAUUAGAAAUAAGAAGCUGACAAAACUACAGCAGAGGAUCAGGACAACAUUGAGUUUUUUUUCUUUUAAGAUUUAGAGAUUCAAGUUGUAAAUUUAGGAGAAUAAAGUCAUAAAGUAAAUAAAGUCAUGAAGCUGCUUUUGUGGAGGGGGAAAUGACUGAAGCUGGUCAUCUGCAGGGUUAUCUGUGGAUGUAUCAGCGGGUCAUUCAGAGAGAUUUUGUGGUUUCUGAAGAAACAAUCAAACUGAUGAUGAUCAACAUUUGUGAUCCAGAGGGAGUCGAGCUCCGACGAGCACCAUGUCUCUGACACCGGCGGUAACCUACACCUGCAGAGACACCAACACCUUAUUAUGGCAUAUGGAUUCAUAUCAUAAACUAAAGCUCAAUGUCAUUCACAGAUAUUUACGGCUGCGUUGACAGAUAUAUCCUCAGCAUAUUCAUUUCUGCCUCCACAAAAGCAGCGAUUUCCUUCAAGUACACCAGUUUUUUCCCCGUGGAAAAGACGUGUUUCUCAUAUAUUCUUUUUUAAGUCUUAAAAAAACCAGAAAUGGGUUUCUUCGACCCAUUCUUUCCAACUCCUCCCAGUCGUUGUCUGUCCCCUUCUCCAGUAAGAUAAAUAUCUGCUCCUCACACUAGAAGCUUCUUGGAUAAGAGGCGAAACAUCUUCUCAACUCUACACAGUCCAGUUGCCUAUUUUUAAGUCUUCAAGAUAAUUUUGUCUUUAUCUCAUUUUUUUCUAGUUUAAUCCUCAAAACCCGCUCUCAGAGCGUGAUCAUGGCUACAACCCAAUCCCCACCUUGGAUGACAAAGUCCACGUCCUGGUCUGCGUGGUCCCUGUGGACACUGUGUCUCGGCUGACUGAUGGGGUGGUGCAGAAGUUAAGACAGGUCAGACUGGCAGCCAGGGACCAGGGUAAGUUCCCGCUCUGUGGACUCUAAGUCACCAGAGUCCUGCUGUCUGAGGUCUGAACCCCUCUGUGUGUCUGCAGGAAUCCCCCAGUUCGCCAUCCUCACCAAAGUGGACAAAGCCUGUCCAGAGGUGGGGAGAGACAUCCGCAACAUUCACAAGAGCAAAUACCUGAAGAAGCAGGUGAGUCUGAGUCCCUUAGAUUGUCCAAAGACCUUUACUCAGAGUCCAGUAACCAGACCGUCUCUGUGACCUGAAGGUGGAGCAGUUCAGCGUCCUCCUGGGGAUCCCUGUCAACUGCAUCUUCCUGGUGAAGAACUACGAGUCUGAGUGCUCCAUGUCUGAUGAGGUGAGCAGACCAAUCCUGACCGCCCUGAGACAGAUAGUAGACUACGGAGAGGACUACCUGAACAACAUGUAGACCCUUGCUCUGCUGAGACCCCCCCACACUCCAUGGUCAAGGAUUGGAGACCCCCCUGACCACAAUCUGGUUUCAGCCGUGUCAUGCAUGCGUUGAGAGAUCGUCGGUGUUUGAAAGUGUUCAGACUCUGGAAACUUCUUUCUGUUAAUUUAGACUUUGAAUAGGAAACUGUACAUAAAACAUUUUCAAUAAAACUAAAAUAAUGACCCAAUAAAACCUUUGAAUUCUUCCUUUAAUGAGUGAACUGUAGCUGCAGAGGGCUGUGUAAAUCUGUGUGUGUCUCACUGAAGAUCUUCUCAAAGUGUUUCAUUGAAUUUUGAUCCUAAUUUGUCAAAAAAUCACAAACCUGGUUCGACACUUUGGAAAACUAAAAUAUUUCCAUAAACAUGCAUCAAAAACUGUCGAUAUGAGGGAAACGGGCUGACUGCAGAGGAAGUUUAUCUAACCUCAAAUUUUCUUAAACAUAAAAUAAAAUAAUGAAAAUGAUCAGAAGGAAACGAAGCAGACUUCUGUUCAGGUUUGGACUGAACUGUCCGAGCUCCUCUUUGGUUUAUUUUCACGUCGUUGAGUGGUUUUGAGUCGGUCACAGCGCUGUUUCCUGCUGCCGUCUCUGUUAUGAUGACAUGUUUUCUCCUGAGGGUCUGGUCUUCAUCAGACGGUUUUAUUUCCUCAAACCUGACUGCAGGUGAACACACUCCCCUGUCUGACACUUCUUCUUUUAUUUCCUCCUCUUCUCUUUUAUGUCCUCCUCUCCUCCCUUAUUUUAUUUCCUUCUCUCUUCUUUUAUUUCCUCCUCUGAUCCCUUUUGUCCUCCUCUGCUCCCUAUGUCCUCCUCUCUUUCCUUAUUUCCUCCUCUCUUUUUUUAUUCGACUCAGGAUCACUUUAGUCAAAAUUUAUUUAUUACAAUUAGUGCUGGGCGAUAUGGAAAAAAAUGUGUAUCACGAUAUGGAUCAUUUUAUAUCACGAUAACGAUAUAUAUCACGAUAUAGCUAUGGUAUGCUUUCAGUUCUAUGAAAAAUUUAAGUGUAUACAGCUGCACUAGUACCAGUACAAGACCAGCACUUAAAACUAGAAAAAUUAAUAAAUAAAUACGUGGCUGAAGUGCGUUCAUGUCUGUGCUCACCCAAAGUUAUGCAACACUCACAGAAAACGCUGAUAGUGUGAGCCAAAGCACUCCAUAAUAAUAAUAAUAAUAAUAAUAAUAAUAAUAAAUUUAAUUUGUAAUGCACUUUACAUUUACCAAAAAUCUCAAAGUGCUACAGUACACAGUAAAAAAAGAGCAGCAACAAUAAAAAAGCAAUAGAAUGACAGUCACAGAUUGGCAUAAAAAAAAGAAUUAGAAAAAUAAAAAAUAUAGAGUUGCAAUGUAAGAGGCAAGGUAGUAAAAGCAUAGAGGAAAACUAACCAAAGGCUUUAUUAAAAAGGUUGGUCUUUAAGGGGUUGUUCACACUGCUAGAUGUUUCUCCUCCAAAGCUGCUCUCUGCCUCCAUCAUUGUUUACUUUACUCUUGAAGCACGUAGGAAGACCCGAGCAUGAAUCAGAGCGCUUUAUUCGCCUAUCAGGGGCAGACAGGUCAGGUGAUUUGAUUCGCCACGACUCCAGAAAUGAUUGAAAAACUACAGAGUGUCACAAAAUUACGUUUCCUCGCUGCUGGCUUGAAGGGUAGAAAUGCGCAGCCGCGCUCCCAGCUGACAGGAAGUCAAACCACUGUUGUAGUUCUUUUGUGUUGCUAGCGCGGUCAAGAGUGUUGGCUCUCACUGAGAGAUGACUACAAAAAUGGACGCACCUGUUCAUCUGGUUGUUAAACACGGCUGAAAAUGAUCAUCUUUUAAUGUUGUUCCCGCUCCUGCCCACUCCCGUUGCUUUUUUUCCCGUCCCGUCCCGAUCAAGGGAUUAAUUAAAAAAUGACUCCCAUCCCGUGGGAGUCCUGCGGGAAUCACGUGACCCACAGGAAUUCCCGAAAAAUGUCAUCCUCUACAGGGAAGGUCCCGGAGCAGAUGAAACAGGUGCCGGAGCGGCUGAAAUAGGUCCCGGAUCCGAUCAAAAGAGGUCCUGGAUCGCGCUCCGACUUGCUCCGGCACAAAUUAAGCACUGCUUACAAUGAUCCCCUCACGUGUGUAACCCAGGUAACCCGCAACGGCGGGAGACGCUGGACACGAAGAGGGCACGUAAAGCGGCGUCAUGUCGCAAAAUCGAAAGAGAAAUGCGAGCCUACAUGUCAACGCAUCCUUUUCUUUGCAAGAAAAUAUUGUUUUCUUUCCCGUUCGACACCAAAUACACUUACUGAAUGUGCAAUUAUUGUUGUUGUUACUAUGAAUCAUCUGAUGGCACAAGCCCUAUGGAUAAAAUACAGCCUAUCGCCCGAAACGAUAAAAAUAAAAAUGGCACGAUAGACAUUUUCUAUCGUGCCCACGAUAUCUAUCGUCCCAUCGCCCAGCACUAAUUACAAUCAAACAUAUUUUACACUGGCGGCAUAUCUCUGUUCUGAGAGUUCUCUGCUCUUCCAUGCGCUUGCAUGGAAUGCCACGGCUACAAGAGGGGACAGUUCCUCCCCUCCCUUUCAUGUGCAAACAUGAAAAGCCAAGGCAGAGAAAGCAGCAGCACAUAAAUACGAUUAAGAUAAAUAAAUCGAAAUCCCCCAAAACACCAUACAAGGCGACCCUCUCAGCUUUCAUGUAGCACAUGGAAGCCGAGGCAGGGAAAACAGCAGCAAAAAAGCCCCCCAGAACAACCAUACCAGGCAACAGCAGAGCAGCAGCCAGCAGCAAGAAACUAUGAAGCAUCCUACCCACCUCCAAAAGCUUGUGUAGUAUAGGUUACCCUUAAAACAUUAAAGCAGUUGAAGACACAUUUUUUGGCAGAGAAGACAGUUCAUUCGGCCAAACAUCAGCAACCACUGAUUAUUAAAACCCCCCAAAACCAACAUAUGGUGCUGUGACUAUAAAUAGCUUAAAUCACAGGAGAAGAUUCCUGAUAGUCACUAUAAGAGAAUGAGAUGCCUUUCCAUUUUUACACAGAAGUGACCAAACCGCAGUUUGGAUCUGCAACCUUCAUCUAAACUUACUCUAUCAUGGAGUUUCUCCACUGAUUUGGCAAGGUUGAAAAGUCUAGAUAUAAAGGACCGCCCCUGAGGCAUGACGCGCAAGGAAAAUUAAUAUGCCAAGUUCUCUUUCCGGUAGAUGAACUGCCUCUCGAGCAUGUCCUCUUACUUCUCUACCUCCUCUCCAUCAACUAUGCUAGGAACCCCUGAACCAGUCCUGUUAUCAAAUAAUUCACAAACAGUGGUUGGGAUGCUUUGCCAGUGCCUUCCCCAGCUCAGGGACAUUUGACGGAGUAGACAGCUGUAUUCUCCUUUUUUACAAGGCGGGUGCAUCUUGGGCGUGCUGUUUUUUAGAUAACCGUCCCUGCAGUAACUUGGCCUUGAAGUGAUGUAGGCUUAGAAAAAGCUUGGCGGUUGGCCUGUAGCCACAGUUUUAGGGCACAGAUUGGAGGUGUGAGCAGGGGUUAAUAUUAAGGUGACCAGAUUUCUGUAAUGAAACCAGGGGACAUUCGGCCUUGUAAUAACUCCCGUAACAACUGUUGUUCAGGACUGCUUACUUGUGCUUCCUUACCCAUUUUCGGGGACAGCUUUUUCCAGGGACAGGUCAUCCAAUUCGGGGACUGUCCCCGGAAAUCGGGGACGUCUGGUCACCUUAGUUAAUGUAGGAUAAGGUUCUUGCAUGUACUGUGCCCAUAGGCUUUGAACAAGAGGAGUAUACCCACAUUUAGCGAGGCGCCGACUCUGAUGCCACAGUACCAUCAUCUGCUGCAUCUCUCUCUCCCUCUCUUGAACAUAAAAUCUAUUUAUUUGUUUAUUUAAUAAUCAUUUAUCUAUUUAACAGCGUACUGCUGUGUACCGCUGCAUACCUGCUUCCUGGCUUACUCUGGGUGUGAGAGGAAGACCCACAGCUUGAGCAAGAAAAAGCUUGAUGCUAAGUCGAGUUGAGCCAGGUCGCCUACGGACUAAUCAAGUCUGGUUGAAUCUUUGAAUGUACUUAGCAGCUUUGCUGAAAAUGAUUUGUGAGAUUCCUAGAAUAAUAUUCUUCCAUAAGUCAUGUCUGAAUCAGAAAUAAUGGCAAGAUAUGUGUCCAGUUCAGUUCUGCGUGCUGAAAACACUUCACAUAUGACAUUUCCAAAUACGCAGAAAGCUACAUGAAUUCAGCUAAGGUCGGAGAUUUAAACAGACGCGCAUCACGAUAUUUAAGCAUCACAGACUCAUCUCCGCAAUCCACAAUGCGUCUAUCAUUGUAGUCGGAGCACAGCAAGAUUCUUUACAAGAUUAAUGUCGGUACCUUCGAGGAUUUGGCUCCGCAGAUUCGGUGUAAUUGCAGCCGCGGGAGGGAAGAAUGGGACGCCGAUGGAGACGGGGACUGCACUUCCCAGGGUCUUUGGCGGGAUCGUGACGCUGUCGUCGGUUGUCGCUGGAGUGACGUCAUCGUUCAGCGCGGUGAAGGAAGGUGACAGCUGGGAUGAAGGAGGACAGCUUAGCACGUGCCGAACCGGAUUCUGGGGCUUCGAUCCUCGAAGACAUGUGGGCGAGCGAUGGCUGGAUGCUGGAUAGUGCUUUCAGGAUGGGAUUGUCGUCCACGUCCGCGGCUCUGGUGGCUGGGGUUGGGCCUCGCGCUCUGCGGGCGGCGGCGAUGACGCGGCGGCUGAAGCUGAACUGCCGUGACGCGGCGGGAACAGCGUUUUCUUUUCUCGGUCGCUUUUCUGGAUACAGAGGAGGAAGAGAGAACUGCAAGUGGGGGCUCUAUGUGGAUAUUGAUGUGAGGCACCACCGGGAGCUGUGAUGUUAUCUAUAAAGGACUUCUAGGAGCCUGGACUUCAUGAAGCUGGGAGAAAUAAAAGUUUUACUUGCCAGAGGAGAGCUCGUGCAGAAGGAAACGCAUCUGUCAUUGCAAGGACUGGCUUCCUCGACCUCACAUGCUGGUGCUGCGUUUCAGAAAGCAGUCAAUCUGCCGUGGAUCCUUGUCGUGGGCAGGGAUCGACAUGAUGAAGAGCAAGGUAGGAAAAAGCAAAAAGGCAGAAUUGCAGCAGGCAGAGUAGACAGGAGAAGCAGUUUAAAUAGGGCGCCAUUUUGACAUUAGCCAAUAGGAUGUGUAGAGGGCGAUCACCUGAGCUGUAAGCUAACUGAGGGCUGGUUUAAGAUCAGCUUGACUCAGCGACCUGCCUGAACUACCUCUAUUCCUCCUUUCUCCUCCCUUAUUUCAUCCUCCCUUCUUUUGUUUCCUUCCCCUCUCUUUUGUUUUCUCCUUCCCUCCUUCCUUAUUUCCUCCUCUCCUCCUUUUACCUUUUGUUAUCUUUGAUGCUCUCUCUGCUUCGGUCCACAGGGGGGAGCCAAAUCCUUUUGAUAUUCCUUUUGUUUAUAUUGAGACAAUGUCUGAUUCUGGUGGCAGGUUUAUUGCAGGUCAUAGGACACAUUUUUAUGACCCCAACUGGGAUGAUGAGUCUUUUUUAGACAGGUUUUCUCAAUGCUACCUGACUUGUCCAUGUAUGAUUUAAUCUUAGGUGGAGACUUCAACUGCUGGAUUAAUCCAUACUUAAACCAUUCUUCCCAAUCCAAGUCGACCAAAGUGAUUCAAGCCUUUAUGAACAAGGUUAAUGUUGUUAACCCUUGGCGUUUUUUCGAUCCAGAUAAAAGGGAAUACUCUUUUUUUUCUUUCAUAUUCAUCAUACUUACACUUGAAUUGAUUUUUUUUCUAGUGAAUAAUAAAUUGUUAUCCAACAUUUCUGGCUGCAAAUAUGACUCAAUUGUUGUUUUGGAUCAUGCCUCCAUUUCUAUGAAUGUUUAUUUUCAGAAGUUUGUUAACCCUUGUGUCACCUUGUGGCUUUUUUUAGCCAGUAGGGGGCAAAAUACUCACUUUUUUGACCAAAAUACUCGCUAUUUUUUAGAGAGUGAAAUCAUUUUUGGUAAAGAAGUUUAAUUUGACGUAUAUUUUUAAUUUUCUCUUUCAAAAUUUUUAAAUGCACUGUUUACAGAUUUACUACCUUUGGUUGCGUUGUGGCUGUUUUGGGUCACUUACUUUAGCUGCUAUAAAAACAUACCAGACAAUUUUUUUUGCUCAAAUCUAUUCAAAGCUCAGUCCUUAUCAUAACAUUUUUUAUUAUUAUUUCAUUAUGAAUUUUAACCCUUAAAUGCCAAAUUAAAUGCCAAAUUAAGAGGCGAUGUCACUGAUUUGAUGGAAAGAGAAAAAAUCACACAAAAUGACAGAAUUUCAAUAUAAAAAGUAAUGAGAGGCUGAAGAUUUUUUACAUGCUAUCACACCCUUGGGUAUGUCAAAUAUAAGCAACAAAAUUAACUUUGAUGCAUUUUUAUUUUUUGCACAGCAUCGGGUUUAAGUUCAUCAUAACCGCACAGCUUUUCCAUCCGCCCGUUUGCGCUCAUGUUUUCAGAAAGGAGGGGAAAGCAAGAGUGGGAGAGAAUGAAAUUUUUUCAUGUCCGGUAUGCAUAUUAUUGGUAGAAAACCACCCCAAAAGUGGAUCUUUCAUAAUAGGGGACCUUUAAAACUAUUUGGGAGACAGAUCUGGGAGAGGUGAUUCAUAAAAGUGGAAAAGUAUAAGUCCCAACUCUAAGGCCAUACUUCUCCUUUCCCAUGCUCAUUAAAAAGAAACAGAUAUGAUUCUGCAAGCAUUCACACCAAGUGAUUUUCAGUAAAUGAUGAGUAAAAUACUUACAUUAUGAUAAAAUACACGUGAUAGCAUACACAUACAAUUUUUCUUACAGCAACGAUUUGCAAAUGAUUUCUAACCUAUAUUCAAUUUAAUACAGAAUCUGAUGGCAGCAACACGUGACAAAGAAGUCGGGACAGGUGAGAAAUUUGAGGAAUGCUCAUCAAACACCUGUUUGGACCAUCCCACAGGUGAGCAGGCUAAUAGGGAACAGGUGGGUGUCAUGAUUGGGUAUAAAAGCAGCUUCGCCAAAAAUUCUCAGUCAUUCACAAGCAAGGAUGGGGCGAGGUUCACCACUUUGUGAACAACUGCGUGAGCAAAUAGUCGAACAGUUUAAGAACAACGUUUCUCAAAGUACAAUUGUAAAGAAUUUAGAGAUUUCAACUACAGUCCAUAAUAUCAUCAAAAGGUUCAGAGAAUCUGGAGAAAUCACUGCACAUAAGCGACACGGCCGGAAACCAACUUUGAAUGCCCGUGACCUUCGACCCCUCAGGUGGCACUGUAUCAAAAACUGACAUCAUUGUGUAAAGGAUAUGACCACAUGGGCUCAGGAACACUUCAGAAAACCACUGUCAGUAAAUACAGUUCAUCUCUACAUCUGUAAGUUAAAACUCUACUACGCAAAGCCAAAGCCAUUUAUCAACAACAUCCAGAAACGCCGCUGGCUUCUCUGGGCCCGAGCUCAUGUAAGAUGGACUGAUGCAAAGUGGAAAAGUGUUCUGUGGUCUGACGAGUCCACAUUUCAGAUCGUUUUUGGAAACAGUGGACGUCGUGUCAUUCGGGCCAAAGCAGAAAAGAACCAUCCGGACUGUUGUAGACGCAGAGUUCAAAAGCCAGCGUCUGUGAUGGUUUGGGGGUGCAUUAGUGCCCAAGGCAUGGGUAACUUACACAUCUCUGAAAGCAACAUUAAUGCUGAAAGGUACACACAGGUUUUAGAGCAACAUGCUGCCAUCCAAGUAGGGCUGCAGCUAUCGAUUAUUUUAGUAAUCGAGUACUCUAUCGAUUAAUCUGUCGAGUAAUCGAGUAAUCGGAUAAGAAAUGUUUUGCUCUCACUGUAAUACUUUGCAUUGAAUCACGUUUGCCUCAGAGCGGACUUAAUGCAUGAACCGGGUGUUUUCUUUUAAGGUGCUGCAGCAUUGACGACGUGCUGUUGUGAAACGCCAACUCCGCCUUACAGUGAACGCACUGCACGGCAUUUUCUUUCCUUUUCAGUGUGUAAUGGUCCCACACUUUAGACACUUUCUGCCGUUUCCUCUGCGUGUCAUCUCUUUCUUCCUCUCUCUGUCUGUCCUCGUUUCCCUCCAUGAUUGAACCAAACGCGCCAUAGACAUAAUAAAAGAUAGACCCCGCAUCGGCCGCUACCACGAAUGGGCGCUGUCGAGAAAUGCGGCCGCCAUCUUGGUCCGGUCAUCCGCCUCACUCUGCACCGCUGUUUAACCGGCGGAAUGAAGUCUGAGCGCAUUAAUGAAUCAUAGUUCGCUCAAUACUACGUAAUUUUCUUCUCUGCAAACGCCAUUCAAAGAGGCAUGAUAGAGGCCAUAUUUUUUUUUGGCGUUUUCAAAUACUCAGAAUGAAUAAAAUGAUAUUUUAGAACAUGGCAGCAGUGGCUGUAUUAUAGUAUAACAAUUAAUCAAGGAUAUAUUUAGGUUUAGAGCUAGGUUCCUGCUAUGUCUCAAUAAUUAUUAAUAACUGGCGGUUUUAAUAGGCCAAUUCAAUAUAUAUUGAUUUGAUUAUAAUUUUUUAUAUAGUUUAAUUUUAUUUAUCCAUUUGUAGACACACACAAAUAAUGUCAUAUAGGAGCACUAUUUUAAUAACUGGAAAAUACACACAAAUAUAUAGCCUACAUAUCAAAAAGAUUUAAACACAAGAACAGCAUGACAGGACAGCAUCUAAACUACAUAUCAAUUUGCUUGUUGGCUACACAGCACAGAGGAAUCACUUGCUGCGAAUUUCUCCCUCUAACAGCAAUCUCCCACUUCUUCCUCAAGUUUUUGUCCUUAGGAAAUCUUCAAAAUGAAACAGGAGAUCACCACAAAGAAAUCUUUAAUAAAACAGAUAAUAAAACAGAGCUCACUUUCUUCCUUUUUCUUUCUAUUUUAUUUCUUAACGUUUCUUAGAACCUCUCUCAAACAAAAGUUUUUCAAUCUAAUGCAAAUCUGUUGAUAAUCGACCAAAGUUGCUAUUAUUGUGAAUAAGCCAGCUGUUCGCAAAUGCUGUUUCCUUUUUGGAGUUGACCGAUAGUCUUCCUCUUUGGCCUACAAAUGACUCUACAGUCAAGUGUAAUGUUUAAAAAAUGUUUAAUCAUAACUGUGAAAAGUUAUUUCUUGAGCCCUGUUCUCUGCUGUCCGCCUGUUGGCACAGGAAUACGCCGCACAGUGCUCCGGCAUCGCUGAAUGAAUGAAUAUGAUUGACCGGAGCGUAUGGGAAGCUUGACCUGACCAAGAUGGCGGCCGCAUUUCUCGCUGCGCAGCACCCCCAGCGGGGUCUACCCUUUUAUUAUGUCUAUGAAACGCGCGGCAGCGGAAGGAGCGGAAAGAGCACGCUGCUGCGCAACAGAAAUAACCAUCCGUGUCAAACACCGUGCGCUGCACAUGGUUCCGGAUUUAAACGAUUCCUCGAGGCAUAUAAUUUGCCUCGAGGAAUUUUAUUAAUCGAGUUACUCGAGUAAUCGUUUCAGCCCUACAUCCAAGCAACGUCUUUUUCAUGGACGGACAUUCUGCACAUGUUACAACAGCGUGGCUUUGUAGUUAAAGAGUGCGGGUACUCGACUGGCCUGCCUGCAGUCCAGACCUGUCUCCCAUUGAAAAUGUGUGGAGCAUUAUGAAGCGUAAAAUAGGACAACAGAGACCCCAGACUGUUGAGCAACUGAAGCUGUACAUCAAGCAAGAAUGGGAAAGAAUUCCACCUUCAAAGCUUCAACAGUUCGUCUCCUCAGUUCACAAACAUUUAUUGAGUGUAACACUCAAUAAAUGUUUGUGAACUGAUUCAGGACACUGAGGACACUGAGAGAGUGUGGAGGGCAGCAGCAGGUGAAACUGACUGAAAGGGAAAGUUUCAUAUCAGGCAAAGAGAAAUCCCCGACAAACCCGGGCUGAGAGAGAGAAGAAUCACAGACCUGUUAGAAAAACAGGAAAGACAGAACAGGGGGGGACAGUCUGACUGGGGGGCUCCUGAAGGUUUUCAUCCAGAGUUUCUGUGUGUCUCUGUCGUUUAUUCAUCUGAGCACAGAAACAUCUUCCAUCAACAAACACAACUCAGAGUUUCUGCAGUUUAUCAGUCCAGGAGCUGCAGAAGAAAUCACAGUUUUGAGACGCUUUAAAGAGGAGAACUGCAGCAAAAUGACUGCUAACCAAAAGAGAAACACUCUAUCAGGGCUGUUCUUGUGCUCAUAUUGAAAGUGAAAGUGUAAUAAAGACAUGCAGACACUCACAUCCCUAACCGCCACAUCCUGUUCUCCAGAUAACGGUUAUUUAACACACUUUCCACCAUAAUGUUUAGAAACCUCUCAGUCUGCAAACAUGGACAGAAAGUCAAAGACUGAAAAGUCUGAAGUGAUCAUGUGUUAAUAUUUCACCCUCCUGUUGUUCCCUCUGUAGCUGCUUUAAACAAAGUCCUCUGACCGAGUUCGACAUGAUUUCACCCUUCAGGACAUCUGAACAUGAAUUGUCUUCAACCGAAGUUUUUCCACUCUCAGCUCUGAAAAAAUAAGGAUAAUCCAACAUAAUCAUCAACACUAAAAGGGUUACAGCCUGAUGAGACCCAAAAUUCAUCCUGAAAUACAGAAAAUGAAUGUUUAUCAGAGUCUUCUGUGUCAAAGGAAAAACUCCGUUUUUAGAGGGUGGUCUCUGACAGAAAAGAAACUCCAAACAACUCCAGAGUGAACACAUGAACUUAGACUUAAACACAGACAGGAUCAUCCUACAGACAGGUCUAUACUACAGACAGGUUUAUAACACAGACAGGAUCAUACUACAGACAGGUUUAUGAUACAGACAGGGUUAUAACACAGACAGGGUUAUAACACAGACCACAGAAACUCCACCUAAAGUGUUUUUAAUUUCAAGUUUUUUUAAUCUAUUAUUUUUUUAAACUCAUUUAUUGAUUAAAAUUUUGUUGUUUUUAUUCGGACUUUCCUUUUCUUUUUCUGUACAUCUCUUUGUUUUUGGACCAUCAUUGUUUUAGAAGUGCUUCAGAAAUUAAGUUUGUCUUCUUGACACAGACUGAGGAGGGGUCAGUUUCAGUUUUCCAGUAAAUCAUGUGAGUGAUUCCAAACAGGGAGACUGAAAGUGAAAGUAUGGAGACUCCAUAAAAACCCACCAGCCUGCUGAUCUGCAGAGUCACUCUGAGCAGAGAUACAGCAGCAGGUAAGAGCCACUUUAACCUGUUAGGACCUUUUUUUACAGUCUCUCUGUCAUUUACUGAUGCUCACUGAAACACCAACUCUGUCCUCCAGCUCCAUUUUAAUCUGUAGAAACUGGAUUGGAGCAUUUUAUUGAUUUAAGAGUUGCAUGCUGUCUCAUCAUGUUUGGAGGGUUUUACUUCAGAAUAAGGAGAUUAUUGUAAUAAUGAUCACUUUGUUCCUCAUAGGUUGAUGUAAAGGAGAAAUAUUGAACUCUUUAUAUCAGCUGAUUACCUCUCAGAUUUAUCAUUGAUGGUUCAGCCUUAAACAGAUCAAUAAUGUCUGAAUAUCUGCAGACCGUGAGCUUCUACAAAGGUUUUAUUUUAGAGACUGGUCAAACAGCUGAGGUCAUGUUUUAAUAUGUGGACAUGUUCUCUGCAGACAUGGGCUCAUCAGAAUCCACACCUCCUCCACCUCCUCCACCUUCCCGUAAGAGGCUGAAUUCUUACUGACAUGAUCUCAGAUCUGUGUGUAUAAUCAGUGUGUGUAUAUAUCAGUGUGUAUAUGUGUAUGUGUGUGUGUGUAAAGUGCAUGGUUACUUUAAUCAGUAACCAUGUCUUUCAGUUUUUCUCACUGUUGUUCAUUUUUGUCCUUCAGCCUGUCUGAGGCAGCCGUGGAGACAACUGACAGAGUGAGUGAGCAUUCUGAGGACACAGUCCUGCUUAUUCACUCAUUCACACAUUCACACAUGUACAUUUAUUUAUAUUAACUCAUUUACACAUUAAACUAUUCACAUAUUUAUUCAUUCACACAGAGGCUAAGUAAGAUUGGUCUGUGUUUGUUUCCACACAGAGCUUAUCACACCUUUUUUCUUGUUUUUAUCCUUUUAUUUUAUUAGUUUUAUUAUUUAUUUGAUCUUGUUUUACAUGAUAUAAAGUUAUUUUAUCGUUUUCCAAUCUCAUUUUAUUUAAUAUAAUCUUGUUUUAUCUUGUCUUUUUUGUUUCUUGUUCUAUUUUUUAAUUUUCUUGUUUGACAUUUUUAAAAAUAAUUUUAUCUUUUAUUGAAUCAUUUCAUUUUUAUUUUGUCUUAUCUUUUUAUUUUCUUGUUUAAUUCUGUUUUUCAUUUUUUAAAGAAUUUUAUUAGAUUUUAUUUCACAUUUUUAUUUGAUCUUGAUUUAUCUUUUAAAAUUUUACCUUUUUAAAAAUAAUUUUCUUUUUUUAUCAUAUAUCAUUUUAAUUUUGUCUUGUCUUUUUACCUGUUUUUAAUUUGUGUUGUUUUUUUAUUUCCUUAUUUUAUUUAAUCUGAUUUCACACUUUCAUUGAAUCUUAUUUUAUCUUUUUAAAUUUUACCUUUUUUUAGAAAUAAUUCUAUCUUUUUAUUGAUCUUUUUAAAAAAAAAAAUUUUUGUCUAUUUUAUCUGGUUUUAUCUUGUAUUUUAUUGUAGUUUGUUAUGGUCAGGGCUCUUUUGUUUAAUACUACACAGAUGAGAUAAAACAAUCUGAUGUCUCUGCUUCGUCAGGAGCUCCGGGGACAUCAUUAGGUACCUGGGAGCCUACCACCCUCGAAAGAAACAAGUCAGUCACUUGAGGGUUCUGCUGCACGGCCCGGUCGGUGCAGGAAAGUCCAGUUUCAUCAACUCAGUGGACAGCGCUCUCAGAGGUCGUGUGACCGGUCGAGCUGCUACUGAUGCAACUUCAGGGACAAGCUUCACCCUGGAGGUAGGACGGUCUAGAGCCUGAGAGAACGUCUGAUUGUGGUCCUUCAGAAAUUUCUGAGACAGUUAUAUGUGACUCAACAAAUCUACAAAAUGACAAAAAAUAAAAUAUCCACAAAUUAAUGAAAAACUCAAAUGAACAAACUCUUUAGAAACUAACUCUCUCCCUGAAAAUGUGGAUCAUUUUCAGCAGGUUGGUUUUCAGAGGAGAGAAAAUAAAUCAGACUGAAUCUCCUUUUUAAGAAAAUGAAAAAACUUUUAAAUUGACACUUUUAUUUGUUUAACUGAUGCAUUUACUGUCUCCUUCUUUCAGUAUAAAACCCACAUGAUAGAAAAAGACGAGCAGAGCUUUUAUUCUGUGGUUUUUAAUGACAUCAUGGGUCUGGAAGACAGCCUGGACAACGGCGUCCACGUGGACGACGUCAAACUGGCGAUGAAAGGACACGUGAGGGAAAAUCACAAGGUACGCACUGAAGGACUUUGUUGAACUGAAGGUCCUGUAGAGUCUAAUCUGUCCAACCAAAGAGGUUAAAUCCACAGUCACUGAUCGAACCAGAACCAAGUCUGUGAGGACAUGAUACCACACCAGUGUACAACAGCGCCAUCUUCCUGUUUUAUGGUGUUUUACUACUUCCUGUGGCUGAGGGGAUUUUGAGAAUGACUCUGGCUGUGUCUCAUUUCAGAGACCGCAUCGGGCUAAGUGCACUUCUGCACCGUCGAACGGUGCAUAUGAAGCGUGCAUGACGUCACAACGGCGCGAACGGUGUCCCAUUUGGCACGAGAUGCUAAGAAAUGCUAAGCACGCUUAGCAUGUUUUCAAGCGUACAUAAAUGCACGCUUGAAAACAUAAAUGCAUAAGUGCCGUCGGUAUACCAGAAUGCUUUGCGUGCUGCUGCACAGCUGCGCAUUUCAGGUGAGAGGCUGGACUCGCUUGAAGACACAGCGCGUCUUCAAAGAAAAUACAAGAAAUCCAAAAACAGCAGACAGGUCAGCUUUGUGGUUUCUGAAGAAACAAUCAAACUGAUGAUGAUCAACAUUUAUUUGAUCCAGAGGGAGUCGAGCUCCGACGAGCACCACGUCUCUGACACCGACGGUAGCCUACACCUGCAGAGACACCAACACCUUAUUAUGGCAUAUGGAUUCAUAUCAUAAACUAAAGCUCAAUGUCAUUCACAGAUAUUUACGGCUGCGUUGACAGAUAUAUCCUCAGCAUAUUCAUUUCUGCCUCCACAAAAGCAGCGAUUUCCUUCAAGUACAGCAGUUUUUUUCCCCGUGGAAAAGACGUAUUGCUCAUGUAUUCUUUUUUUAAGUCUUAAACAAAACAGAGAUGGGUUUUUUUCGACCCAUUCUUUCCAACUCCUCCCAGUCGUUGUCUGUCCCCUUCUCCAGUAAGAUAAAUAUCUGCUCCUCACACCAGAAGCUUCUUGGAUAAGAGGCGAAACGUCUUCUCAACUCUACACAGUCCAGCCUAUUUUUAAGUCUUCAAGAUAAUUUUGUCUUUAUCUUAUUUUUUUCUAGUUUAACUCUCAAAACCCGCUCACAGAGCGUGAUCAUGGCUACAACCCAGACCCCACCCUGAAUGACAAAGUCCACGUCCUGGUCUGCGUGGUUCCUGUGGACAAAGUGUCUCUGCUGAAAGAUGGGGUGGUGCAGAAGUUAAGACAGGUCAGACUGGCAGCCAGGGACCAGGGUAAGUUCCCGCUCUGUGGACUCUAAGUCACCAGAGUCCUGCUGUCUGAGGUCUGAACCCCUCUGUGUGUCUGCAGGAAUCCCCCAGUUCGCCAUCCUCACCAAAGUGGACCAAGCCUGUCCAGAGGUGAGGAGAGACAUCCGCAACAUUCACAAGAGCAAAUACCUGAAGAAGCAGGUGAGUCUGAGUCCCUUAGAUUGUCCAAAGACCUUUACUCAGAGUCCAGUAACCAGACCGUCUCUGUGACCUGAAGGUGGAGCAGUUCAGCGUCCGCCUGGGGAUCCCUGUCAACUGCAUCUUCCUGGUGAAGAACUACGAGUCUGAGCUCUCCACGUCUGAUGAGGUGAGCAGACCCAUCCUGACCGCCCUGAAACAGAUGGUGAACUACGGAGAGGACUACCUGAACAACAUGUAGACCCUCGCUCUGUUGAGACCCCCCCACACUCCAUGGUCAAGGAUUGGAGACCCCCUUGACCACAAUCUGGUUUCAGCCGUGUCAUGCAUGCAUUGAGAGAUCGUCGGUGUUUGGAAGUGUUCAGACUCUGGAAACUUCUUUCUGUUAAUUUAGACUUUGAAAAGGAAACUAAACUAAACUAAUGACCCAAUAAAACCUUUGAAUUCUUCCUUUAA